CCCUGGGUCUGGUCUCCGUCCGCCCUGGGCGCUGCCGCGGACCUGGUUCCCAGUCUCUACCACAGCCCUUGCUGACUGUCGCGCACGGGCUGCUUGUCCCUCCCCAGGUUUGCGAGCCGCUUGAGGACAGAGCCUUCCUUCUCAUCUCGCAGCCCUCACUCGGGUCUAGCCCUGUGCCGGCAGACCGUGCACACACCGCACGACGACCGCAGACAGCCCGGGACAGGAGCAGCUGCCGGUCUUCGGCACGGUCUUCGGCACGCUCGAGGAGAGCAGACUCAGUCAUCGGCCUGGCCGGUUCCCAUUUACACCCGCCACCAGGCCUGGCGUCGGAAAGUCCCUCUCUGCAAAGCUUACGAUGUGAAGGGCACGGUGCACUGACCGGUAAUCCCUGCCGCUCCCUCCAUCUGGCAGGGACUCCUCCUGCCUUGGGUCAGGAACAGGCGGUGACCAUACAGGCCACACUCACUCGAGGUCACAGUCUAGAAACUUGUAUCCCAAGGCCCAAAUUAAGAGGUCUCCUCAAAUUUCCACUCGGCAGAAGCCCCCUGUGCAGAAAGCCACUGCUCCUUUCUGGACACAACAGAAGGACCGUCACCCUCGCAGGCGUCCACACCCUCACAGGCGUCCACACCGAGGCUCUCGAAGGAAGAGCUGCGCGGAAAGGCAGAGAAGUGAAAGCAAAACCGACCACAAAAAGCUAUGCGCCAGAGGCCUUCCAAGUCUGUGCUCCACAUGGCCAACUCAGCUCGGGGGCCAUCCAAGCCAGCCCCACACAGAGAGACUGACACAGACAGCCAUCAGAGACCCGCGGCAGCAGGACUUGUGUGGGAAAGCCAGAGAGCCAGCGGGUGGGAGGUGUUAAGCACAAGGGACAGAACCACAGACCAGGCAUGUGCCUGACCUGGGACAGAACCAGGACCUUUUGCUCUGCGGGACCACGUCCAACCCACGGCGCCACACAGGUCAGAGCUGUCAUCCCCUCUUUAUAAAGGAGGAAACAGUCUCCUCCGAGUUUACGCAACCCGUUCAAGACUGGAACCUGAACUUAACCACCCCUGGACAGGUAGUCUUAACCACCUGACUGCUGGAAACACAAAGCGUCUCGGGGAAGGGCUGGCUACAGUCGAGGGACACAAGGUGCAGCCUGUCUUUACACCUCCUUCUAGUGCAAAAUCGGUGGCCUCGGGGCACUAGAGGGGAGGGCCCGGAUGGGGAACUGUAAGUCGGAAGAACCCAACCACUGCUAAGAGGGGAAGAGGCCAAACCCCCCAAAACCCUCCCGAAGGGGCAAGACCCAAAGGGAAUGUGUGAAGUCAAGCUCCCCCGGGGGACCUCAGCCUCCCACCCUUGUUUUGUCAAAGGGAGCGCGGCUCGGCAGGUGGGGCAGGCGGGGGUCUCCGGGUCCUCUACCUAUAGG